CUAACACUUCCCACCCCACCGUCUCAGGAAACACCGCUUUCCACUCCUGUGUCCCCGAAAGGAAUCAUCAGACAUCUCGGACUCUUACCUUCUCAAGCAACACAACCCACCCUCCUGGCAUAGCCCGUUGCCCCCCUGAAACCCUACUCAGCCUCACCUCAACCCCUACGCAAUUCCUCUCGGUUGUCAUGCCUCCAUCGGCGGGGGUCGAGUGUUGUGUGUGACCCCAGGUCUCUAGCAAGGCUCUUCCCGCGUCUGCUUCUGAAACCCCUCCACGUCCCUCCACCCCAUGUGCCCCACUCGUUACACAAGAGCAGAGAGAUCUGCAGAACAUACGUCUACGAUUAUGCCACUCUUCAGAUUUACAUCUUGCAGCGACUUCCCACUGCGUUAGAACGGAAGUGAGCCUUGAGAAGACACACCCUCGUGGAGAGCUUUGAACUUUUAUCCGGAAAGGUGCCGGGCACGUAGUCAGCGCCCGCGAUCACUCGCUCACAAGGGUUCUUCCGAGACCCCUCUUCAGCCUCUUCCCCGAACCCCCAGGCCCCGCCCCAGCCCCAUCUCA